rnacentral:tRNA from 1 species
AAAAUAGCUCAGUUGGUAGAGCGACACCCUCGUAAAGUGUAGGUCAAGGGUUCGAUUCCCUUUUUUGG